AAAAAAUGAUGUAAUAUUUUAUUUGAUAUUCGUGAUAGAAAUAAAUUAACGAGCUUUUUAACACUGAUUUUU